GACGAACGCUGGCGGCGUGCUUAACACAUGCAAGUCGAACGAUGAUGCCCAGCUUGCUGGGCGGAUUAGUGGCGAACGGGUGAGUAACACGUGAGUAACCUGCCCUUGACUUCGGGAUAACUCCGGGAAACCGGGGCUAAUACCGGAUAUGAGCCGUCCUCGCAUGGGGGUGGUUGGAAAGUUUUUCGGUCAGGGAUGGGCUCGCGGCCUAUCAGCUUGUUGGUGGGGUGAUGGCCUACCAAGGCGACGACGGGUAGCCGGCCUGAGAGGGCGACCGGCCACACUGGGACUGAGACACGGCCCAGACUCCUACGGGAGGCAGCAGUGGGGAAUAUUGCACAAUGGGCGAAAGCCUGAUGCAGCGACGCCGCGUGAGGGAUGAAGGCCUUCGGGUUGUAAACCUCUUUCAGCAGGGAAGAAGCGCAAGUGACGGUACCUGCAGAAGAAGCGCCGGCUAACUACGUGCCAGCAGCCGCGGUAAUACGUAGGGCGCAAGCGUUGUCCGGAAUUAUUGGGCGUAAAGAGCUCGUAGGCGGUUUGUCGCGUCUGGUGUGAAAACUCGAGGCUCAACCUCGAGCUUGCAUCGGGUACGGGCAGACUAGAGUGCGGUAGGGGAGACUGGAAUUCCUGGUGUAGCGGUGGAACGCGCAGAUAUCAGGAGGAACACCGAUGGCGAAGGCAGGUCUCUGGGCCGCAACUGACGCUGAGGAGCGAAAGCAUGGGGAGCGAACAGG
rnacentral:rRNA from 1 species